rnacentral:lncRNA from 1 species
AACAUUGUAUAAUAUUUUUAAGAUGAUGCGAGGGAGAGGUCGAGGGAGCCCACGCCGUAAGGUGCCCUCUUCAUCGGAAAACCCCAUGAAUCACACAGAAACACACAAGCAAAUUGAUGAAGAAUAACAACUUGAAGAUGAGGAACCACUUGACUCUACAAAUGAGAAGGUGUUUAGCCAUAAUGAAGAUGAAGAAGGGAAAUCACAAAAUAAGGAAACCCUAUGAGGAAAUAGC